rnacentral:lncRNA from 1 species
CCUAAACAUGCAUACCAUGCAACCCAUGCAUAAAAACCCUCUUAACCCUUCAUAAAACUCAUUGAAAACCUCUCCAAAGCUAAGGAUCUACACUUACCUCUUGAAGAACAAGAGUUGGUGCGACCUCAAACGUGAAGAUAUGGAGAAUCCAAGCUCCAAAGUCUUCAAACUUCAAAAUCUUGCUCAAAGCUCACAACUCUUCAAAACAAGGAGAAAACUCAUGAAAACCUUGAAAGAUUUGAAGAAACAUCAUGAAAAUAACCAAAGGAG